UACGAAGGGGGCUAGCGUUGCUCGGAAUCACUGGGCGUAAAGGGUGCGUAGGCGGGUCUUUAAGUCAGGGGUGAAAUCCUGGAGCUCAACUCCAGAACUGCCUUUGAUACUGAGGAUCUUGAGUUCGGGAGAGGUGAGUGGAACUGCGGAGUGUAGAGGUGAAAUUCGUAGAUAUUCGCAAGAACACCAGUGGCGAAGGCGGCUCACUGGCCCGAUACUGACGCUGAGGCACGAAAGCUAGGGAGCGAACGGGAGUUAGAA
rnacentral:rRNA from 1 species